AGAUUGAACGCUGGCGGCAUGCCUAACACAUGCAAGUCGAACGGGAGUAGCAAUACUCUAGUGGCGGACGGGUGAGGAAUACGUAGGAAUUUGCCCUUAAGUGGGGGAUAACCCGGGGAAACCCGGAUUAAUACCGCAUGACCUCGAAAGAGCAAAGUGGGGGAUCGCAAGACCUCACGCUUUUGGAGAAGCCUACGUCGGAUUAGCUAGUUGGUGAGGUAAUGGCUCACCAAGGCGACGAUCCGUAACUGGUCUGAGAGGAUGAUCAGUCACACCGGAACUGAGACACGGUCCGGACUCCUACGGGAGGCAGCAGUGGGAAUAUUGGACAAUGGCGCAAGCCUGAUCCAGCAAUGCCGCGUGUGUGAAGAAAGGCCUGGUUCGUAAGACACGUUAAGUUAGGGUAAGAAAAAACGUAACGACUACUAACAACAACGUAGAGUCUUGUACGGUACCGACGAGAACUAAGACACCGACUAACUACUGUGCCAGCAGCCGACGUAACGU
rnacentral:rRNA from 1 species